rnacentral:lncRNA from 1 species
UUCUGCAUAUGCAGUAAAAAAAAGGAAGGAAAACCACUCCGAUCCACUAAACACACUUAAAGAAUAACUUUGGCUCAGAUACCAUCCAAAACCAAGAAUGUUACAUCAGUGACAGAGGGAUGGGAUGGAAAGAUAGCAGCAAUUGGAAACACUUUUCAUCUCUACCUUCUCUGAGGAAGGUGUCAGGUGUUGCCAUCUUGCAGAACCAGGAAGCUAUAAAAAAGAGCUCCAAGAUGGCUACUACCAUGAUCUUGUCUUGGAUGGUAAUGAUGGGUCUUCAUAUGCAGCUGGAUGCAGCAUCAAUACGUCCAACAACAGAUACAACUGUUCCAACAACAGUCCAGCCCAUUGGAAAGCUGGAGCUGAGUCUGACCGACGGGCCCGACCGCUGUGCAGGCAAUGUGGAAAUCGACUAUUUUGGAAUGAGCGCAAAAGUGUGUGGCUUCCAGUGGGACAUGAACGAUGCUCAGGUUGUGUGCAGGCAGCUUGGCUGCGGCUCACCUGUCAGCGUGAUGGAGUAUUUCUCCUCGAGCGAUUCAUAUCCAUGGUACCAGAGGACCGCGGUGGCUUGUGACGGCUCUGAAACCUCUUUGCUGUUUUGCCCUUCUGACUACGUGUCCUCCGAAUGCCAACACGGGACUGCUUCUGUCAUCUGCUCAGUCCCAUGACUAACAGAGCCCCCAGUGAAAGAACCGGACUCUUUUGGCAUCCUGGAGAACAUGAAUUCAGCUCCUGCUCCAAUUGGUAUCUCUCAUACUCCAUUUAUUACUGCUGUCAUGGCCCUGACAGCUGCUGUUCCCACUCUUGUUGGUUUCUUUUGAAACACAGUGAAGAAAUCAAUUCCAUAUCAGAUCACAUGAGAUUUGGUAAACACCUGCAGGUGAUCACAUUGGUUGAGUAAUUUGAUGGAUUGAGUAAAGUCCUUGCAUUGAGUAAUCUUGACAAUUCAAGAUUAAAGGCUUUCUGUGGUGAUGGAUAACCUCAUGGGAAGAGAUGGGCUUGACAUAACUCAGCACUGAAUGAAGCCGGAAGACCAGCAAAGGUUUGCAGCCAAGUAACAACCUUCAAAUUAGUCAGUUGCCACCUACAAUAUUAGGCUGUUAAAUAUUAACACUCCAUCUUAAUCAGCUUCCUCCUCUCAAGAUGGAUAUCUGGCCUCUGCCAGUGAAAAAUAUAGCCUGGGUUGUGGGGAACCCACAUGGCCAGUUCUUGCUCCACACCAAACAAGAGUUUGUUUCUAGUUUCCUCAGAUGUAAAUUAAGAUCAAUAGCCCUUCCUUUCCACAGGGGAGUUGUGAGUCCAUCAGACAAUGCGUGCUGCAUGAUAACCAGUAACAGGACCUACCUAAGUACCUCUGAACGGCAACAGAUGUCAGAAAGGCUCCACAAUAAAUCAUGAUGUGAUGUGUGUAUUUCA